GAUGAACGCUAGCUACAGGCUUAACACAUGCAAGUCGCGGGGCAGCAUGGGGGUUGCUUGCAACCCCUGAUGGCGACCGGCGCACGGGUGAGUAACGCGUAUCCAACCUGCCCUUCACCACGGGAUAACCCGGCGAAAUUCGGACUAAUACCGUAUGUUGUCCAUUGACGGCAUCCGAUCUGGACGAAAGGCUUGUCGGUGAGAGGAUGGGGAUGCGUCCGAUUAGCUUGACGGCGGGGUAACGGCCCACCGUGGCUACGAUCGGUAGGGGUUCUGAGAGGAAGGUCCCCCACGCUGGAACUGAGACACGGUCCAGACUCCUACGGGAGGCAGCAGUGAGGAAUAUUGGUCAAUGGGCGUAAGCCUGAACCAGCCAAGUAGCGUGCAGGAUGACGGCCGUAUGGGUUGUAAACUGCUUUUAUGCGGGGAUAAAGUGGCCCACGUGUGGGCUUUUGCAGGUACCGCAUGAAUAAGGACCGGCUAAUUCCGUG
rnacentral:rRNA from 1 species